GAAAUUUGACAAAGAAAACCCUUAAAGAAAGGAGAGAUGUAUAACCUAUUGCUUAUAAACGAUUUCCAAAUGUAUCUCUGCUGAAAAGACAAGUGUAGGAUCCGUGAGGCUCCCGUGUUGGCGAGCAAUAUUUGAUUCAUAACUUCCUCAGUGGGGUGUGAUAACAUCACGUGUCGUGAGAGUCUCCUUGACCCCGGAUGAGUUGAGAUGGAAGUGAGUCGGACCAGUCUCUCUAGGGAGAAGCCAGAGGAGUAUCAGCGAAGGAUCAUGGGAGAUGAAGUCCAAAGCCAAAUCGAGGCAUGCUACAAAAAUGAACUGGUCAGAGCUGCACAGAGCGCUCCUGUUUCCCAGAAACCUACAGUGGUGCGGACCAAUGAGGUGGAGGAGAGGGAGCGCUACAGAUACCAGUGGAGGAAGGAGGACAGGCAGAGAAUCGUCGGUGACAGAUUGGAGCUCUUCGUCGCCAUAGUGACAGGGUUGUUGAUGGGGGUUCUGACAGGUGGUUUUGGAGGUGUUGUCAUGGGAGGGUUGACAGGGGCGGUGAUAUGGUUUACAACAGGACUGGUUAGGAACUGGUGGAGCCCCUGAUUCACUGGGAGACACCAUGUGUAGGCUAUGGAUCUACUUAUAUAAAGACAUUUGGAGGAUAAAACUAUUUUAAUGUGUGUAGAUGGAAGGACUUUGGUGAUCAUUUAUCUUGAUGCAUUUAUCAAACUUUAAUUAUGAAUCAUUUGGAAGUGAAUAAAAGCCCAAUAAAGAGAUAAGAAACAGAGAAUAUACUGAUUAUUUUUAAAGAGAGAUGAAACCCUCAUAUUCAUCACCAGUGUUAACCUACAGUACUUCUGUGAAGUCAGUCCUGAUAUGGGUCUGAACCUGUUACUCAUAAAGGGAUUAAAAUAGAGAUUCAUCCAGAAAUCUCUUUCCCUGAUUUCAUCUGACCAAGUAUUCAGAUAUCAUGUGACAGUAGUUAUGGCCAAUGAAAGACCUUCAUCCUACCCUGUAAAAUCCUUACAAAUAACGGCAACAAGAACCAAUGACUAGAUCACCAUAUAUACAUGAUCAAAUCAUCGUUACUGUAAAAAAACAGAACCCCGAUCCAGUGACUCACAACCCAACACAUUCUGGCUAAGAUCACGUCCCGUAUCCAGAAAGCAUCUCAGAGUAGGAGUACUGAUCUAGGAUCUGUCCAUAUAUUCAUUAUGAUCUAAAAGUCCAAUCUGUCAUGGAAUCAGUAAACCCUGUACUCAUGUUAACACAAAUAUUUAGCCUAAGAUUUGGUCAUUUAAAUGAUAUUUAUGAUUGCUCUUCUGCUGUUCUUACAUGUAAUUCAUUUAGCAGAUGCUCUUAUCCAGAGUGAACCACAGGAGCAAUUAGGUUAAGUGUCUUGCCCAAGAGCAUUUUGACAGAUGUUUCAGCGAGUAGGCUCAGGGAUUCAAACCAGCAACCUCUGGGUUAUUGGCCCAACAUUCUAGUCUACCUGCCGUGAAAGAGGCCUCCACUAAAGACUUAGAACUGACUGUAUAAAUGUCAUUUCAUUUUACAGGCCUGGCAGAUGAUGUUGAAAAUACAUUUCAAAUAGUCUGUUUUCAGUAGUGAUGAAGCUUGUUCAGUUAUAAGAGUUGAAUGGUGCCCCCUGCUGUAUGUUAAUGGAAUAACAUGAACUUUGAACCCAGUCCCCAACCUUCCUUCUAUUCUACUGUUUUACUUUGAAACGUUGUAUCCACCAGUGUUAUUUCAUAAUGAUUUCCACCCUAUUGUUGAUUUAUCUGAACACACUCUGACGACUACAAUCAUCUUCAAGGCCAAAUGUGUUUUAAUGUCGUUUUUGUCCUCAACCCUACUGUGUUGAUAUUAAUGUAUAGUCAUGUCAUUUACUAUCUACAUGAUGUUUAAGGCAAAUAAAACCUUGAUGGAAAUCAUUAUGAGUUAUUUACUCAUGAUAUUAAAGGCAUUCACAAGGUGUAAUCAUUAUGAGUUAUUUACUCAUGAUAUUAAAGGCAUUCACAAGGUGUAAUCAUUAUGUGUUAUUUACUCAUGAUAUUAAAGGCAUUCACAAGGUGUAAUCAUUAUGUGUUAUUUACUCAUGAUAUUAAAGGCAUUCACAAGGUGUAAUCAUUAUGAGUUAUUUACUCAUGAUAUUAAAGGCAUUCACAAGGUGUAAUCAUUAUGUGUUAUUUACUCAUGAUAUUAAAGGCAUUCACAAGGUGUAAUCAUUAUGUGUUAUUUACUCAUGAUAUUAAAGGCAUUCACAAGGUGUAAUCAUUAUGUGUUAUUUACUCAUGAUAUUAAAGGCAUUCACAAGGUGUAAUCAUUAUGUGUUAUUUACUCAUGAUAUUAAAGGCAUUCACAAGGUGUAA